ACCAAUUUCCACCUGGAUUUGUCUUAUAAAUCUAGACGUAAUCAUCAGGUAUCUAGUAAGUGCUAAGCACUAGGCACAGGAACCAGAAGACUCAGGUUUUUAAUGGGACUCUCUCUCUGCUUAGCUGUUUAACUUCAAGCAAGGCUCUUUCCCACUUGCAGUCUUAGUUUCUCCAGCUUUCAACGCAAUUAUCAUUCCCACCCUAUUUCUGACAAGGUUGUUAUAGGGAACAAGGAGGAUACUAAACAUGAAAGCUUUUUGGAAAUAGACCAUAAACUUUUGUGUACCAAGUUCAACUUAAUCCUGACUACAAACUGUAAAUUUCAAGGCCAGAGAUCCACUAAAAUUACAUUUAUUUAAGAAAAGAAAGAAAGAAAAAGGAGGGGGCUGCCUGGGAGGCUCAGGUGGUUGAGUAGCUAACUCUUUAUCUGGCUUGGGUCAGGAUGUCAGUAUCCUGAGAUAGAGCCCAUGUUGGACUACCCAGUGGGCUAGGCACCUGCUUAAGAUUCCCUCUCUCUCCUUUUAACCCUGCCCCACCUGCACUCUAACUCUUUCUAUUUAAAAAAAUAAAAAAAUAAAAAGGACGAAGAACAACAAAAAGAAUAGAUUUAUUUUAUGACUGUAGGACGUACUCAUAAAAUCCUAUUGCAAAAAAACUAAUAUACCUGAUAUGACCCAGAAUGUCAAAAGACAGCUAGUGACUCUUGUCUUCCUCUCACCUCUCUCUGGACCAUGUGGUCUCUCAUCUCCAUUUCUCUAUCUAUCUAAUUUAUUAGAUUCCUGCAUGUUCAAUUUCUUCAUGUUCGUGACUCAAAACUCUGACUCACUCUGUAAUCCCAAAUCCACAGUUGCUGGAGAACCUGAUGUUCAUCCAAAGAUUGUCAGCCACAGCAAGGAGACCAGGAUUGCAGGAGAGAAAGGCAGCCUGUGCCUUCUCAGUAAUCAAGUUCACUAAGAUGAUAAUGGUGAUAGUGAAGAAAAUGCUUGGCACUUUAGUACAGACUGUGAUGAGCAUAAAAUUACAUAAAUAACCUAUCACCUCAUUAGUCUCAUUAAAAAGAGAAUUACUCUUCCCAAAAGCUCAGAUUAGGUUGUCUACUUAUAACAAGCAGAGAGAUGCCUCUGCAUCUAAGGCAGAGGACAGGCAUGGUCCCUUACCUGGAUAUAGCUAGUGCUAAUGGGAUAAGCUUAAACAAAAUCAAUGCCUUUGUAUUUAUCUGAUUUUUUGUGAUUCACAGUUUAAGAAGGAGAACCCUGGGAGGCCUGGGUGGAUCAAUGGUUGGAACAGCUGACUUCCGGCUCAGGUCAUGAUCCCAGGGUUCUGGGAUCGAGUCCCACAUCGGGCUCCCCUGGAGGAGCCUGCUUCUCUCUCUGCCUCUCUCUCAUGAAUAAAUAAAAUCUAAAAAAAAAAAAAAGAAGAAGAUGAAGAAGAAGAAAAAGAAGAAGAAGAAGAAAGAAGAAGAAGGAGAACCCCUCUUUGAUCCAUUUACCUUACCUGUCCCCAUUUGCUAACGAAAAACCUAUAAAGUUACUUAAAGGAUAGAAAAAUUGUUCUCUACCACUUAAGGGUCUUCUAACUGAUCUAAUAAUUAAGUUGACAAGAGAUAAAGUAACACGAGAAAAUAGAAAUUAAUCGCAGAUUUAAGAUGAAUCCACAUAAACAGGAGAGAUUUUCGAAGACAAGCAGAAUGAGGUAUAUAUCAUUCUAAACUAAGGAAAGGGGGUUAGGGGUCUGGGACUUCAAAGGGAAGGAAAGUAAUUAACAGGAAGAUGAAAUAGAGUAGAUGUUUCGUAAACAACUAUCUGUUGGGCCACAAAAAAACAAUGGGAGGGACAUCAAGAGGAAUUUUAACUAAUAUGCUUUUGCAAAGGUGCUCCCUGUCUACUAACCCACAUUCAUAUUCAUAUCAUGAUGUGGUUAUUUAUGGUAAUACCACUCUUCUGGGAGCUAGUACUCCAUGAAAAUUCUUUUAAGCAAAUAGAAGGUAGGUCUUUUUAAGCCUUUUUUGCCUUUGUUUGCAGC
rnacentral:lncRNA from 1 species